ACCCUCUGUGGAAGCUCUGUAAGGUUUACUUAUUUCUUCACUUGUUUUUUCACCCUGCGUGCGAGUUCUUGUUUUUUCACUCGACUUCCAAGCUCCAAAUGGUUGGCUUAAUUUUGGUUUUACACUCGACUUCCAUGCUCCAAAUGGUUGACUUAUUUCCUCAUUUGUUUUUUCACUCGACUUCCAUGCUCCAAAUGGUUGGCUUAUUUCCUCAUUUGUUUUUUCACUCGACUUCCAAGCUCCAAAUGGUUGGCUUAUUUCCUCAUUUGUUUUUUCACUCGACUUCCAUGCUCCAAAAGGUUGGCUUAUAUCUUCACUUCUUUUUUCACCCCUAGUGUGAGCUUCAUAAGGUUGACUUUCUUUUUUACUCCAUGUGGGAGCUCCUAAAUGUUUAGGUUUUGCAUCAUAAUUCUUGCGGAUACCCAAACUAAUUUUGUUUCCAGGAUAU
rnacentral:lncRNA from 1 species